CCAAAGAAAAAAGAACCACCGAAAAAAGAACCAGAAAGAAAGGAAGGAGAAGGACACGAUGUUUCGCACGUAUUAGACUAUGGAGCAGCGGGAUAUUAUGUCGGCUGCAGUGAUGCUAACGGCAAACCAUACGCAACCGGAAAGGGUUGUGUGCUUUACUUCCGUGGUGAGCGUACCGACCAACAUGGAUUGAAGGGUCGUAGAUGCAUACUUGGAAAGUGCAAGAACGGAAGAUGCAUACACGAUGGUGGUGGCCUUUGCGGUGUACAAUAAAAUAUCCUGCCGAACUGUUUAUAAUAAAAUACUUUUUUAGAACCUAA